rnacentral:rRNA from 1 species
UACAAUGGACGGUACAACGAGUCGCAAGCUCGCGAGAGUAAGCUAAUCUCUUAAAGCCGUUCUCAGUUCGGACUGUAGGCUGCAACUCGCCUACACGAAGUCGGAAUCGCUAGUAAUCGCGCAUCAGCCACGGCGCGGUGAAUACGUUCCCGGGCCUUGUACACACCGCCCGUCAAGCCAUGGAAGCCGGGAGUGCCUGAAGUACGCGACCGCAAGGAGCGUCCUAAGGUAAAACCGGUGACUGGGGCUAAGUCGUAACAAGGUAGC